AAAUUCGCCGCAUCCUUGCAGAUGCGCGAACCUCAGUCCCCCCCAGGGUAUUACACAACGGGCUAUAACACUCCCCGAAGAGAGCCACAUUCCCGAAGUCUUUAUCCCCCGGGGAAAACUGAUGCUGGCCUGGACUGGAAAAGUGCACUGGGGAGAACCCCAGAUGAUUAACCAAGCCCAAGUCUGGUCAUAAACGCUUCCCUUUCAACAAUUUCACGUACUUUUUAACUCUCUUUUCAAAGUGCUUUUCAUCUUUCGAUCACUCUACUUGUGCGCUAUCGGUCUCUGGCCGGUAUUUAGCUUUAGAAGACAUAUACCUCCCAUUUAGAGCAGCAUUCCCAAACUACUCGACUCGUCGAAGGAACUUUACAGAGAUUUGGCAUCCAACCAGACGGGGCUCUCACCCUCUAUGGCGUCCCGUUCCAGGGAACUCGGAAGGCACCGCAUCAAAAGUAUCCUCUACAAAUUACAACUCGGGCCCGAGAGCCAGAUUUCAAAUUUGAGCUGUUGCCGCUUCACUCGCCGUUACUAGGGCAAUCCCUGUUGGUUUCUUUUCCUCCGCUUAUUGAUAUGCUUAAGUUCAGCGGGUAUUCCUACCUGAUCCGAGGUCAACAUUCAGAAGUUGGGGGUUUAACGGCUUGGCCGCGCCGCGUACCAGUUGCGAGGGUUUUACUACUACGCAAUGGAAGCUGCAGCGAGACCGCCACUAGAUUUCGGGGCCGGCUUGCCGCAAGGGCUCGCCGAUCCCCAACACCAAACCCGGGGGCUUGAGGGUUGAAAUGACGCUCGAACAGGCAUGCCCGCCAGAAUACUGGCGGGCGCAAUGUGCGUUCAAAGAUUCGAUGAUUCACUGAAUUCUGCAAUUCACAUUACUUAUCGCAUUUUGCUGCGUUCUUCAUCGAUGCCAGAACCAAGAGAUCCGUUGUUGAAAGUUUUGAUUUAUUUAUGGUUUUACUCAGAAGUUACAUAUAGAAACAGAGUUUAGGGGUCCUCUGGCGGGCCGUCCCGUUUUACCGGGAGCGGGCUGAUCCGCCGAGGCAACAAUUGGUAUGUUCACAGGGGUUUGGGAGUUGUAAACUCGGUAAUGAUCCCUCCGCUGGUUCA
rnacentral:misc_RNA from 1 species